AACGAACGCUGGCGGCAGGCCUAACACAUGCAAGUCGAACGCUGUAGCAAUACAGAGUGGCAGACGGGUGAGUAACGCGUGGGAACCUUCCCAGUGGUACGGAAUAGCUCAGGGAAACUUGAGGUAAUACCGCAUAAGCCCCUAGGGGGAAAGAUUUAUCGCCAUUGGAUGGGCCCGCGUCGGAUUAGCUAGUUGGUGAGGUAAUGGCUCACCAAGGCAACGAUCCGUAGCUGGUUUGAGAGAAUGACCAGCCAACACUGGGACUGAGACACGGCCCAGACUCCUACGGGAGGCAGCAGUGGGGAAUCUUGGACAAUGGGCGCAAGCCUGAUCCAGCCAUGCCGCGUGAGUGACGAAGGCCUUAGGGUUGUAAAGCUCUUUUGCCGGGGUCGAUAAUGACGGUACCCGGAGAAUAAGUCCCGGCUAACUUCGUGCCAGCAGCCGCGGUAAGAC
rnacentral:rRNA from 1 species